UACGUAGGGGGCUAGCGUUGUCCGGAAUCAUUGGGCGUAAAGCGCGCGUAGGCGGCCAGAUAAGUCCGGUGUGAAAGCCACAGGCUCAACCUGUGAAUGCCGCUGGAAACUGUCUGGCUAGAGUCCGGGAGGGGCGAGUGGAAUUCCUGGUGUAGCGGUGAAAUGCGCAGAUAUCAGGAGGAACACCGGUGGCGAAGGCGCCACUCUGGGCCGAAACUGACGCUGAGGAGCGAAAGCGUGGGUAGCAAACAGG
rnacentral:rRNA from 1 species